rnacentral:rRNA from 1 species
UACGUAGGGGGCGAGCGUUGUCCGGAUUUAUUGGGCGUAAAGAGCGUGUAGGCGGUUCGGUCAGUCUGUCGUGAAAUCCUGAGGCUCAACCUUGGACGUGCGAUGGAUACUGCCGGGCUAGAGGAUGGUAGAGGCGAGUGGAAUUCCCGGUGUAGCGGUGAAAUGCGCAGAUAUCGGGAGGAACACCAGUAGCGAAGGCGGCUCGCUGGGCCAUUCCUGACGCUGAGACGCGAAAGCUAGGGGAGCGAACAGG